rnacentral:lncRNA from 10 species
CCCGGAGGGGCCCGGGCGGCCAGGGCGCCCCCGCCAGGAGGCCCGCCAGGUGUCCACCUGAGCCCCACGCCCUGCGCCGCGGGGCCCUUUUGGGGGCGGGGUGCCAGCUCCGAGGUGUCCUCCCACGGGCUGUAGACUGGGAAACUGAGGCCCGGGCCACGGUCCCAGACGCAGCCGGGACCCGAACCCACCUCACCUGAGCGAAUGAUAUCCGGGACUCAUCCUUUUUCGACACCUUUGCGGGAUCCAGCCCUCCAAGGAAAGCUUCCUGAGCAGUGCGCGCCACGUGUAUUGGGCACCUCACCGCGGCCACUUCACAUCCUAUCUCAGGUGGAGAAACUAAGCCACAGAAAGGAGCUGUCAUUUACCUAAAGCACCGUGGCAGGGGUUUGGCAGAGCCAGGAUUUGUACCCAGAUCGCCUGACUUCGGAGAGUAACAGCUCUUAACCACAGCACUUCGGUCUAUGCCUUGAUUUCACCAUAUGUAACAAGCAGCUGUGCCACUUUGCAUUCCCACCAGCAGCACGCAAGCGUUCGAAUUUCUCCGCACGCUCCCCAACAGGACAAGAGCUUGCCGUGUUGCCCCAGGCUGGUCUCAAACUCCUAGCCUCAAGCAAACUUCCUGUCUCGGCCUUUCAAAACCCUGAGAUUACAAGCAUAAGAAAAGAAAAUCUUGUAAGAUGAAAGCUGAAGGAUGAGAGCAAUUAAUUGAUGAAGUAUGAUGAUCCAGGUGUCCCUGGGUGAAGAAACAACCUCUACAAAGGCCCUGAGGGUCUCGCUCAUCACCAGGCUGGAGUACAGUGACAUGAUCAUGGCUCACUGCAGCCUCAACCUCCCGGGUUCAGGCUAUCCUCCCACCUCAGCCUCCCAGGACCACAGGCGUGUGCCACCAUGCCCAGCUAAUUUUUUGUAGAGAUGGGGUUAUGCCAUGUUGCCCAGGCUGGUCUCGAGCUGCUGGGCACAAGCAAUCUACCCAUCUCAGUCUCCCAAAGUGCUGGCAUUAUAGUCGUGAGCCACUGUGCCCAGCCAACAGCGUCUUUCAAAGAGCAGAGAGAGGUUAAUUUUGAUGAUGUCCAGUUUGCACCUUUGUUGAAAAUUGACCAUAUAUCUGUGAGUCUGUUUCUAGACUCUUUGUUCUGCUUUAUUAAACUACUUGUCUAUUUG